rnacentral:misc_RNA from 1 species
AACGCACCUUGCGCUCCUUGGUAUUCCGAGGAGCAUGCCUGUUUGAGUGUCAUGGUAUUCUCAAUUCCUUCAGUUUUUGCUGGAGUGAUAUUGGAUUUGGAGGUUAUUGUUGGCAGUCAUUGAUAUGUCAGCUCCUCUUAAAUAUAUCAGUGUGAAUGUUCACUUUGCACUCAGUGUGAUAAUUAUCUACACUGUGUGUGAGUGAUAUAAUUUUACGCUUCUAACUGUCGCAAGACAACACUUUGACUUUCUGACCUCAAAUCAGGUAGGAUUACCCGCUGAACUUAA